AGUGAACGCUGGCGGUAGGCCUAACACAUGCAAGUCGAACGGCAGCACAGUAAGAGCUUGCUCUUACGGGUGGCGAGUGGCGGACGGGUGAGGAAUACAUCGGAAUCUACUUUUUCGUGGGGGAUAACGUAGGGAAACUUACGCUAAUACCGCAUACGACCUACGGGUGAAAGCAGGGGAUCUUCGGACCUUGCGCGAUUGAAUGAGCCGAUGUCGGAUUAGCUAGUUGGCGGGGUAAAGGCCCACCAAGGCGACGAUCCGUAGCUGGUCUGAGAGGAUGAUCAGCCACACUGGAACUGAGACACGGUCCAGACUCCUACGGGAGGCAGCAGUGGGGAAUAUUGGGCAAUGGGCGCAAGCCUGAUCCAGCCAUACCACGUGGGUGAAGAAGGCCUUCGGGUUGUAAAGCCCUUUUGUUGGGAAAGAAAAGCAGCAGGUUAAUACCCCGCUGUUCUGACGGUACCCAAAGAAUAAGCACCGGCUAACUUCGUG
rnacentral:rRNA from 1 species